rnacentral:rRNA from 1 species
AGAGUUAAACAGUGCGUGAAAUUGUUGAAAGGGAAACGUUUGACACCAGCUAUGUAGGCGGAAAAUCAGUCAAGCGCAGUGAGGGGCUGGUGUUUGUCCGGACCGCAAGGCCGGCGGAUAUCUCAUCUUUGCUGUGGGUGAUGCACUUUUUCGUUCGCAGGUCAACAUCAGUUUCGCUUGCUGGACAAAACCCCGAGAGAAGGUAGCAGCUUUGGCUGUGUUAUAGCUCUGGGGCGAUACAGUGGGUGGGACUGAGGAUUCGCAGUGUGUGCUCUCGGGCAAGGCUGACUGGGUGCUCUGGGGUUGUUUGGCGUACAAUGCAUGCAUUUUGCGUCUUGUCUUCUUCAGACUCGCUUAGUUCGGCUCUUCCACGCUUAGGAUGUUGACUUAAUGGUUUUAAACGACC